rnacentral:sRNA from 1 species
CACGAAGGAACGCAGACUAAGAACGCCACGUCCUGGGGUAACGUCUGCAUAACCCACAUCCUGUGGG